rnacentral:rRNA from 1 species
GAUGAACGCUGGCGGCGUGCCUAAUACAUGCAAGUCGAGCGAACGGACGAGAAGCUUGCUUCUCUGAUGUUAGCGGCGGACGGGUGAGUAACACGUGGAUAACUUACCUAUAAGACUGGGAUAACUUCGGGAAACCGGAGCUAAUACCGGAUAAUAUUUUGAACCGCAUGGUUCAAAAGUGAAAGACGGUCUUGCUGUCACUUAUAGAUGGAUCCGCGCUGCAUUAGCUAGUUGGUAAGGUAACGGCUUACCAAGGCAACGAUGCAUAGCCGACCUGAGAGGGUGAUCGGCCACACUGGAACUGAGACACGGUCCAGACUCCUACGGGAGGCAGCAGUAGGGAACCUUCCGCAAUGGGCGAAAGCCUGACGGAGCAACGCCGCGUGAGUGAUGAAGGUCUUCGGAUCGUAAAACUCUGUUAUUAGGGAAGAACAUAUGUGUAAGUAACUGUGCACAUCUUGACGGUACCUAAUCAGAAAGCCACGGCUAACUACGUG